CCAGACUCCAUGAAAACAGAAGGCCAGUUGGGCUGGCAGUCAGACUAAGUGGCCUGACUCCGUUGGUGUUUAAGUGGAGCUCUGGUAUUCUAGUGCAUUCUUUUACCUCUGCUUCUGUUGCGUUGCAAGCUGUGCUAGAGAAGACGUAGGAAAUUCAUUUUACCCAAUCAGCAAUUGUAACAAUGGACUACAAACCCGCAGAGCAAGCCGGUUUGCUGGAAAACAGGAAUUCCUGCAGCGCAGCACUUGUCACAGACUAUCCAAAGAGGGCAAAGAUUCAGGAAGGUGAAUAAAUUGAACAUUGGUUGAAUGAGGUCAGGAACAGUCUCCUGGAGGAGAGCCCUGCCCUAAAAUACCACUUUGAAAGUAUAAGCCAAUUUAAUGUGCAGAUUAACCCUUCUCAUUUGAGCAAACUUGUGUGCAAUCCUGGAUCUUUGCAGAUUACAACCGGACACUUAAAAAGCCUAUGUACUAUAUUUGUU